rnacentral:rRNA from 1 species
GACGAACGUUGGCGGCGUGCUUAACACAUGCAAGUCGAACGGAAAGGCCCUGCUUUUGUGGGGUGCUCGAGUGGCGAACGGGUGAGUAACACGUGAGUAACCUGCCCUUGACUUUGGGAUAACUUCAGGAAACUGGGGCUAAUACCGGAUAGGAGCUCCUGCUGCAUGGUGGGGGUUGGAAAGUUUCGGCGGUUGGGGAUGGACUCGCGGCUUAUCAGCUUGUUGGUGGGGUAGUGGCUUACCAAGGCUUUGACGGGUAGCCGGCCUGAGAGGGUGACCGGCCACAUUGGGACUGAGAUACGGCCCAGACUCCUACGGGAGGCAGCAGUGGGGAAUAUUGCACAAUGGGCGGAAGCCUGAUGCAGCAACGCCGCGUGCGGGAUGACGGCCUUCGGGUUGUAAACCGCUUUCGCCUGUGACGAAGCGUGAGUGACGGUAAUGGGUAAAGAAGCACCGGCUAACUACGUG